CCCUUAGAUGUUCUGGGCCGCACGCGCGCUACACUGACUACAACAACAAGUUUAAAUUUGUUAUCAAAAGAUCCUUGAUUGAAAAAUCUGGGAAAUCUUAAAAAAGUAGUCGUGAUGGGGAUAGAUUAUUGUAAUUUUUAAUCUUCAACGAGGAAUUCCUAGUAAACGCAAGUCAUCAACUUGCAUUGAUUACGUCCCUGCCCUUUGUACACACCGCCCGUCGCAUCUACCGAUUGAAUGAAGAGGUAAAAUUUAUGGAUUUUAACAAUUAUUGGUAAAACGAUUUUAUGUUGAGAGAAGUGGAUUAAACCUUUUUAUUUAGAGGAAGAUGAAGUCGUAACA
rnacentral:rRNA from 1 species